rnacentral:rRNA from 1 species
GAUGAACGCUGGCGGCGUGCCUAAUACAUGCAAGUCGAGCGAACAGAUGAGGAGCUUGCUCCUCUGACGUUAGCGGCGGACGGGUGAGUAACACGUGGAUAACCUACCUAUAAGACUGGGAUAACUUCGGGAAACCGGAGCUAAUACCGGAUAAUAUAUUGAACCGCAUGGUUCAAUAGUGAAAGACGGUUUUGCUGUCACUUAUAGAUGGAUCCGCGCCGCAUUAGCUAGUUGGUAAGGUAACGGCUUACCAAGGCAACGAUGCGUAGCCGACCUGAGAGGGUGAUCGGCCAAACUGGAACUGAGACACGGUCCAGACUCCUACGGGAGGCAGCAGUAGGGAAUCUUCCGCAGUGGGCGAAAGCCUGACGGAGCAACGCCGCGUGAGUGAUGAAGGUCUUCGGAUCGUAAAACUCUGUUAUUAGGGAAGAACAAAUGUGUAAGUAACUAUGCACGUCUUGACGGUACCUAAUCAGAAAGCCACGGCUAACUACGU